AGUGAACGCUGGCGGUAGGCCUAACACAUGCAAGUCGAACGGCAGCACAGUAAGAGCUUGCUCUUACGGGUGGCGAGUGGCGGACGGGUGAGGAAUACAUCGGAAUCUACUUUUUCGUGGGGGAUAACGUAGGGAAACUUACGCUAAUACCGCAUACGACCUACGGGUGAAAGCAGGGGAUCUUCGGACCUUGCGCGAUUGAAGGAGCCGAUGUCGGAUUAGCUAGUUGGCGGGGUAAAGGCCCACCAAGGCGACGAUCCGUAGCUGGUCUGAGAGGAUGAUCAGCCACACUGGAACUGAGACACGGUCCAGACUCCUACGGGAGGCAGCAGUGGGGAAUAUUGGACAAUGGGCGCAAGCCUGAUCCAGCCAUACCGCGUGGGUGAAGAAGGCCUUCGGGUUGUAAAGCCCUUUUGUUGGGAAAGAAAAGCAGCAGGUUAAUACCCCGCUGUUCUGACGUUACCCAAAGAAUAAGCACCGGCUAACUUCGUG
rnacentral:rRNA from 1 species